UACGUAGGGGGCAGGCGUUGUCCGGAUUUAUUGGGCGUAAAGAGCGUGUAGGCGGCCACACAGGUCUGCUGUGAAAACUCGAGGCUCAACCUCGAGCUGUCGGUGGAAACCGUGUGGCUAGAGUCCGGAAGAGGAGAGUGGAAUUCCCGGUGUAGCGGUGAAAUGCGCAGAUAUCGGGAAGAACACCCGUGGCGAAGGCGGCUCACUGGACCACAACUGACGCUGAGGCGCGAAAGCUAGGGGAGCAAACAGG
rnacentral:rRNA from 1 species